UUCAGGUCUUCCCACCAGCUUUGAUCUGGAGUAGGGCAUCAUGUAUGAACAGAUGCAGACUGUGAUUGAAGAAGUCCUAGAGGAAAGUGGGUAUUACAAUUUUACUUCUAACAGGUAUCACUGCUAUCCCUGGGGCACCAAGAAUCACCCAACAAACAGAUGAAAAUGCUGCAUUUUAAAUUGAUGUGGUUUUCCCAGUCAAGUUCAAGUUCUGGACGUGAGGCACUACUGCAAGAUGCCCAGGGAUGGGGAGCUGCUAGAGGAGUGUGGAAGAGAGAAGACCAGCCUGCCUCGGUGGCAGUACGGUCCCUUCCUAGAGGCUCAUCCCGGGGCUGUGUUAGAUGCAGGAUGAUGGAGCUGUCAGCGUGCUCCUGGGGGAAGUUGCUGCAAAAUUCAUCUGUGAGAAGGAAACCCACUCCUCGCCGAACUGUUCUCCAAGUUCAAAACAAAACAAAAAAAAAAACUUGUCCUAUUUUUCAAAGGAAUAUUUUAUAUUUUUAGAAUUGCUGAAACUAUUUAUGUAAAGGCGUUUAGACUUCCAUGUAUAAAAAAUAGUUUUAGAUAAAAUUAUAGGACCCAGAACAGUUAAUAUAUUGGGUGAUUCACUGAGCCCUCCAUUUUUCUGCUCUUAAAAGAAAUUCAGACUAUAUGACUUUGUAGCUUUUUGUUUGCUUUAAUGAAGCGAUUGGUUUUCUCUUAACCACUCAGGUGCUAGUGGUCUUGAACUCUAAGACAGCGUAGACAGUAUUUGCAUCCUUGCACAGCCUCUGAGAA